rnacentral:lncRNA from 1 species
CGGGAACCUCACCUGACUACCGCAAAGCUCUCUGAGAUCACCAAGGGAGAUCUUAUUUUUUCACAAAAGAACCAGAAAUCUUUGAUGCUUCGAGGACAAAUCAGACCUGAGGAUUCUGAACAGGCUCCAUGGAAAAGUCCCUGUUCCAGAGGCCUAGCUGUCACAAUCCUGAUUUCUAUACCUCUUCAGUCUAGAUGCUUGCAUCGCAGGGAGACAAGAACAGGUGGAGUGCCCACACUGCAGUCUCCAGACGCAGCAGAUUUCCUUGCUCAGCUGCUUCAUUUCACCUCAGGCAAACUCUGCUCUCCAGCCCAGCAUUUCUACUGCUCAGUCAGGCUGCCCUCCCCUUUGAAAAUUAUACAAGGUCUUGGACAGCCCAAUCCUUGUGCCUCAGCUUUAAGAGGUCCAGUCGGCACCCCCCGGCCUUCCACUGCCUUUUCAUUCUCAGGUGGCUCUCCCAGGUCCACAGUGUCAUUCAUCAUUUUUAAUAAACCAGAGGAAACCUCUUCAUCAGUAUCAGUGCCUCCAGUUCACUUCAUGACAUUAUCAUUUAUUGAAUUUUACCAUGUAACUCAAUAAAUUCAUUUUUACUCAAAAUGCAAUUUUUAAAACAGAUAAAUGUGUUUAUUGGUUCCCUUGCUAGAAGCCUUUAUCAUCUGAAACAGAAACCUUUUCUUGCUCGUCUUUCUCCAGCAGCUUAUAGGGAGUUAUAUUAAACUGGGUCUUUUUAGAGUUUCUUAUAUUCCACUUACUAACAUCUGUCCAAAGGGAAAAAGGUCUAAAGAAUUUUUCAGAAAAUAAGGAUUUUUCUGAGUUCAGUGUUUUCUUGACAGGGAGAGAACUUACAAGUAUUCACCAAUAUAACGCAUAAAAUAAGGACUUAAUUAAAGCCAUCAAGACUGCACUUUGGAGAGUUCUCUUCUACGUUGGCUUUUAGAUUCUGACUAAAUAAGAAGAAACUUUGAAAGGGGUAAAAUCUCAGAUACACUUGAAGUACCCAAGUUUUAAGGAACCUAUUUUAGAGAAAAUGAGAACCCUUGCUGAUUCUGGUUCAUUUUUAGAGACACAUUCAAACCCUAAGCUUUUGUUAUUUCCAAA